rnacentral:rRNA from 1 species
GAUGAACGCUGGCGGCGUGCCUAAUACAUGCAAGUAGAACGCUGAAGCUUGGUGCUUGCACCGAGCGGAUGAGUUGCGAACGGGUGAGUAACGCGUAGGUAACCUGCCUCUUAGCGGGGGAUAACUAUUGGAAACGAUAGCUAAUACCGCAUAAAAGUCGAUAUCGCAUGAUAUUGAUUUGAAAGGUGCAAAUGCAUCACUAAGAGAUGGACCUGCGUUGUAUUAGCUAGUUGGUGAGGUAACGGCUCACCAAGGCGACGAUACAUAGCCGACCUGAGAGGGUGAUCGGCCACACUGGGACUGAGACACGGCCCAGACUCCUACGGGAGGCAGCAGUAGGGAAUCUUCGGCAAUGGGGGCAACCCUGACCGAGCAACGCCGCGUGAGUGAAGAAGGUUUUCGGAUCGUAAAGCUCUGUUGUAAGAGAAGAACGAGUGUGAGAGUGGAAAGUUCGCACUGUGACGGUAACUUACCAGAAAGGGACGGCUAACUACGUG